CACCUGGCGGAGGCCGAUGGCCGGCGGGAACGACAAGGUGAAGUCCGGUCGCUCACGCGGGGGCAGGCGGUCUGACUGAGCCCCUCUCCCAUCUCUGCCGUAAAGCAGCGUCCUAGAGGCCUCGCGUUACAGUUUUAGAAGAAAACCAAAGAGUGUGAUCUACAGUGCGUUCUGCAGACCCCGGAGCUCAAGGUUAGACCAGGAGCAGACGCUGACCUCACACUUCUGAUAAACGAAUGAAGUCAGCACCUCAACCCGAGCUCAAAACAAGAUGCCAGAAGAAAAGAUCAAAGAGCUUAAAACGGAAUUCCAGAAAAAUCAAACGCAGGAACACUGGCGGUCAAGUUACUUAUAGAUUUCAGGACCUCUUCUACUGUCUCUACAGGCAGAUAGAGAGCCAUGCCCACCAUCAUUUCUAUCAGUGCCACUUCUACCCGGGGGAGUUCUUUGUCUUCCAAUUCCUUUACCUGGAAUAAAUGAUAAACCAUCAUCACCACCGUGGUCCUCUUUGUACCAGGACCUCCUCCUCCAUCACCACCUCUUUUGAGGCAGGAGAAACUUCUGCUCCAGAUCAUCAUUUGCUCUAAUUUAAAGGAAUGAAGCAGAAAUAAAUGUAUAAAACUAAA